rnacentral:lncRNA from 1 species
UCUGCUCCAGAAAGAAUCUACUUGGCUUACUGCUCAGAUGUUUGUCAACGUCAUUGUGGCUUCCUGUUCCAUCGUAGCCUUGACCCUUCUCAUUGUCCAGCACUCUGCUCCUCUAACGCGGCUGCCUUCUGUUCCCACUGAACUAGAGCAAACCCUUUUUUUUCCUGGCUUUUAUUUCACUCUGUUACAGUGACAACAAUUUGGAAUUGCUCUAAGCACUCAUUAUCUCACAGCUAUUUUAAUGAUCUAUUUAUUUAUUUCUUGUUAUAGACUUCUCAGGCUUCCUCAGAGGACUCAGGGGAUGGGCAGUGAAAGAGAAGCCAAGACAGAGGGUUGCUGGAGCAAUUAGCCAUGAUGUACUAAGAACCAGUCUGUGUUUGACACGGAGCUCAAGUGCCUCUGUUCUUUCUCCCAGAUUCCUCACCCUGAGGUGGCUAGGUUUGCUGUGUGAAGAGAGCCUAACAGAAAAGUUAACACCAUCGUUGCUCACUCACAUCUGCAAAAAAAGGAAAUCCUGUCCUGAGUUUCUUUACUGGUGCCAUUCUCUGCUGGAGAGAAGUCUCAUGUGGGCAUAUCUGAGUGACAGAGGACUCUGCUCCAGCUGCAGAUGAAUUUGGAAAUAUGAGAAGGCAGAAGCUGAUUAACUUAUUCAAGGGCAAAGCAUUCUUACUAAUUCGCCAUUCUCCAAAGACUAACUAGAACUUGUUGACUGAGAAUCUAGCCUUUCGAGCAUACUAUUUUUUAAAAGCACUCUGAAAUCUAUCCACACCCUUUUCUUUUUAUUCAAAAAGGACUUAAGAAAUGUCAGUUCAGGAUGUCACUAUUACUGGUCCCUCAACCCCCAUCAGCAAGUUGGCCUGUCAGUUUCCUUCUACCAUGCUCGAACUUUGAGGAUAGCAUGGCUUCCGCUUAAAAAAUUUUCCCUGCAUACAGGCAGAUGCUUGAUUACAUAAUAAUAAUAAUAAAAUAAACAGUAUGACAAUGUUAUGCA